CAAGUAGGGCGGGACACGUGAAAUCCUGUCUGAAGAUGGGGGGACCAUCCUCCAAGGCUAAAUACUCGUGAUCGACCGAUAGUGAACCAGUACCGUGAGGGAAAGGUGAAAAGAACCCCGGGAGGGGAGUGAAAUAGAUCCUGAAACCGCAUGCAUACAAACAGUCGGAGCCUCGUAAGGGGUGACGGCGUACCUUUUGUAUAAUGGGUCAGCGACUUACGUUCAGUAGCAAGCUUAACCGUAUAGGGCAGGCGUAGCGAAAGCGAGUCCGAAUAGGGCGUUCAGUUGCUGGGCGUAGACCCGAAACCAAGUGAUCUAUCCAUGGCCAGGAUGAAGGUGCGGUAACACGUACUGGAGGUCCGAACCCACUAACGUUGAAAAGUUAGGGGAUGAGCUGUGGAUAGGGGUGAAAGGCUAAACAAACUUGGAAAUAGCUGGUUCUCUCCGAAAACUAUUUAGGUAGUGCCUCGUGUCUCACCUUCGGGGGUAGAGCACUGUCAUGGUUGGGGGGUCCAUUGCGGAUUACCCCGCCAUAGCAAACUCCGAAUACCGAAGAGUGCAAUCACGGGAGACAGACAUCGGGUGCUAACGUCCGGUGUCAAGAGGGAAACAACCCAGACCGCCAGCUAAGGUCCCCAAAUAUAGCUAAGUGGGAAACGAAGUGGGAAGGCUAAAACAGUCAGGAGGUUGGCUUAGAAGCAGCCACCCUUUAAAGAAAGCGUAAUAGCUCACUGAUCGAGUCGUCCUGCGCGGAAGAUGUAACGGGGCUAAGCUAUAUACCGAAGCUGCGGAUGCGUGCUUUGCACGCAUGGUAGGAGAGCGUUCUGUAAGCCUGCGAAGGUGUCUCGGAAGGGAUGCUGGAGGUAUCAGAAGUGCGAAUGCUGACAUGAGUAGCGAUAAAGGGGGUGAAAGGCCCCCUCGCCGUAAGCCCAAGGUUUCCUACGC
rnacentral:rRNA from 1 species